GACGUAGGGCGCGAGCGUUGUCCGGAUUUAUUGGGCGUAAAGAGCUCGUAGGCGGCUUGUCGCGUCGACUGUGAAAACCCGCGGCUCAACCGCGGGCCUGCAUUCGAUACGGGCAGGCUAGAGUUCGGUAGGGGAGACUGGAAUUCCUGGUGUAGCGGUGAAAUGCGCAGAUAUAGGAGGAACACCGAUGGCGAAGGCAGG
rnacentral:rRNA from 1 species